GACGAACGCUGGCGGCGUGCUUAACACAUGCAAGUCGAACGACGAAGCCGGAGCUUGCUCUGGUGAAUUAGUGGCGAACGGGUGAGUAACACGUGAGUAACCUGCCCUUGACUCUGGGAUAACUGCGGGAAACUGUAGCUAAUACCGGAUACGACCCUCGGAGGCAUCUCCUGGGGGUGGAAAGAAUUUCGGUCAAGGAUGGACUCGCGCCCUAUCAGCUAGUUGGAGGGGUAAAGGCUCACCAAGGCGACGACGGGUAGCCGGCCUGAGAGGGUGACCGGCCACACCUGGACUGAGACACGGCCCAGACUCCGACGGGAGGCAGCAGUGGGGAAUAUUGCACAGUGGGCGCAAGCCUGAUGCAGCAACGCCGCGUGAGGGAUGACGGCCUUCGGGUUGUAAACCUCUUUUAGCAGGGAAGAAGCGAAAGUGACGGUACCUGCAGAAAAAGCACCGGCUAACUACGUGCCAGCCGCCGCGGUAA
rnacentral:rRNA from 1 species